CUUAGAACUGAAACUCAAAAUUUUUUUUCAUCAAACCCAUACGUGUGGGGUUUCUAAUAUCAUUUUUUUCUAAACUGAAUAGUUUGCGCGAGAGACACUUCCAAAGUAGUAAAAUGUGUGUGCCCCCCCCUGUAACUUCUAAAAUAAGAUAAUGAUAAAACUAAAAAAAAAUUAUGAUGUACAUUACCAUGCAAACUUCCACCGAAAAUUGGUUUGAACGAGAUCUAGUAAGUAGUUUUUUUAAUACGUAAUAAA